GACGAACGCUGGCGGCGUGCUUAACACAUGCAAGUCGAACGGUGAAGCGCCUUCCUUUUUGGUGGGUGUGGAUGAGUGGCGAACGGGUGAGUAACACGUGAGUAACCUGCCCCCUUCUUCUGGAUAACCGCAUGAAAGUGUGGCUAAUACGGGAUAUUCUGGGUCUGUCGCAUGAUGGGUCUGGGAAAGAUAUUGUUUCGGUGGGGGAUGGGCUCGCGGCCUAUCAGCUUGUUGGUGGGGUGAUGGCCUACCAAGGCGGUGACGGGUAGCCGGCCUGAGAGGGUGGACGGUCACACUGGGACUGAGACACGGCCCAGACUCCGACGGGAGGCAGCAGUGGGGAAUAUUGCACAAUGGGCGCAAGCCUGAUGCAGCGACGCCGCGUGAGGGAUGGAGGCCUGCGGGUUGUGAACCUCUUUCGCCAGUGAAGCAGGCCUGCCUCGUUUGUGGGUGGGUUGACGGUAGCUGGAGAAGAAGCGCCGGCUAACUACGUG
rnacentral:rRNA from 1 species